rnacentral:rRNA from 1 species
GGUGACAGGUGGUGCAUGGUUGUCGUCAGCUCGUGUCGUGAGAUGUUGGGUUAAGUCCCGCAACGAGCGUAACCCUUGUCUUUAGUUGCCAUCAUUAAGUUGGGCACUCUAGAGAGACUGCCAGGGAUAACCUGGAGGAAGGUGGGGAUGACGUCAAAUCAUCAUGCCCCUUAUGCUUAGGGCUACACACGUGCUACAAUGGGUAGUACAGGGGGUUGCCAAGCCGUAAGGUGGAGCUAAUCCCUUAAAGCUACUCUCAGUUCGGAUUGUAGGCUGAAACU